rnacentral:rRNA from 1 species
GAACGCUAGCGGCAGGCCUAAUACAUGCAAGUCGAACGGUGUCUUCGGACAUAGUGGCGCACGGGUGCGUAACACGUAUGCAACCUACCUUACAUUGGGGGAUAGCCUUUCGAAAGGGAGAUUAAUACCGCAUAAGACAGUAGCUGGGCAUCCAGCAGCUGUUAAAGAUUUAUCGAUGUAAGAUGGGCAUGCGUCCAAUUAGUUAGUUGGCGAGGUAACGGCUCACCAAGACUUUGAUUGGUAGGGGAACUGAGAGGUCAAUCCCCCACACUGGCACUGAGAUACGGGCCAGACUCCUACGGGAGGCAGCAGUAGGGAAUAUUGGGCAAUGGACGCAAGUCUGACCCAGCCAUGCCGCGUGCAGGAUGAAGGCGUUAUGCGUUGUAAACUGCUUUUAUACAGGAAGAAACGACUCUUGCGAGAGGCAUUGACGGUACUGUAUGAAUAAGCACCGGCUAACUCCGUGCCAGCAGCCGCGGUAAUACGGAGGGUGCAAGCGUUGUCCGGAUUUAUUGGGUUUAAAGGGUGCGCAGGUGGUUUAUUAAGUCAGCGGUGAAAGACGGUCGCUCAACGAUUGCAGUGCCAUUGAAACUGGUAGACUUGAGUAAAGUAGAGGUGGGCGGAAUUGAUAGUGUAGCGGUGAAAUGCAUAGAUAUUAUCAAGAACUCCAAUUGCGUAGGCAGCUCACUUGGCUUUUACUGACACUCAUGCACGAAAGUGUGGGUAUCAAACAGGAUUAGAUACCCUGGUAGUCCACACUGUAAACGAUGAUAACUAGGUGUCGGCCGAAUCUGGUCGGUGCCACAGCGAAAGCGUUAAG